rnacentral:rRNA from 1 species
UACGGAAGGUAGCAGUGGGGAAUAUUGCACAAUGGGCGAAAGCCUGAUGCAGCUAUGCCGCGUGUAUGAAGAAGGCCUUAGGGUUGUAAAGUACUUUCAUCGGGGAGGAAAAACAAAACUAAUAAUUUUAUUUCUUGACGUUACCCGAAAAAGAAGCACCGGCUAACUCCGUGCCAGCAGCCGCGGUAAUACGGAGGGUGCUAGCGUUAAUCAGAAUUACUGGGCGUAAAGAGCACGUAGGUGGUUUUUUUAAGUCAGAUGUGAAAUCCCUGGGCUUAACCUGGAACUGCAUUUUGAAACUGAAAUACUAGAGUAUCGUAGAGGGAGGUAGAAUUCUAGGUGUAGCGGUGAAAUGCGUAGAUAUCUGGAGGAAUACCUGUGGCGAAAGCGGCCUCCUAAACGAAUACUGACACUGAGGUGCGAAAGCGUGGGGAGCAAACAGGGAUUAGAUACC